UGAUCUAAAAUGCAGAGAAGAGUUGGCUUAAGUUUAUACAAAUAAAAACUAAAUUCUCUUCAGAGUAUUUUCGAAAAGUUAUAUGGCCUCUAUGGAUAUGAAGGGUAAAGGUAGAAAAAUAUAUUUUAAGAACACUAAUCUAUAUGGCGUU